rnacentral:lncRNA from 1 species
UUUUUUUUUUUUUUUUUUUUUUUUUUGGCCUUUUAUCCACAUAAAAUGCCAGCGGUCAGCUCAACAUUUGUCAGUGAAAUGGGUAAAGAAUCUGAAUAAAGGGGAUGGGCUUUUAAGAAACGAGUAGCCUGUAGAAGUUUAACUCAUAAUACUAAUUACACUAAUUCCAGAUUAUAUACCGACAUCCAAAUACCAUUCCUUUUAAAAGGUGAUCCGUCUCAAAACUUUUUGGACCCCUGAAACUUACACAUGCAAGUCAGUCAGUAUCUUUCAGUUUGGAUUAGCAACUAAACUUGCCAGAAUGAUUCAAAGGGCUCGUAUUAAAGAGAUGAGUGAUCUUUUUGGCUGAAAAAAAAGGUGUUGGAUGAACAAACGGUGCAAUUUUAAAUAGUUUGGUGACUUUUUUGACCAUUUACUCUAUUCUUAAUAUUCAAAAUCAGGGUCCCUCAACAAGAUUAAUACCAUUCUACCAUCGUCUACAGCAGAGGAGCAAUUAAAACAUUUUCAAGCUAGUAUUUAAACCUUUGACUACCCUUUUUUUAUUUCUUUUGUUUCCUUUCUGCACAUUACUCACCUUUAUGUUAUGAAAUUGAAAACACAUGUAUAGAAUGUCAAAAAUGCUGGCUGCUCAUAACGAUAACAGAACCUGAAUGUUAACUAACAAUCUUAUUACAUAAUGCUAACAUAUUCUAAAAGAAAUAGAUCAACUUAAAAUCUCCUUAUAAACUGGUGGCAUAUUUUAGAAGGAAUAUGUGUAGGAGCUCAAGCUUUGCUACACCUCCAGAAGUAGCUUUCAGAAGUCACAGAUGUAAAUCUCUGCAAUAGUGACUGUUUCCUGUAUGAGUAUGACCAG